GGGGGUAUAGCUCAGCUGGGAGAGCAGCAGACUGAAGUCAUACAAUUCAUAUCACGUUGUUCUGAAGGUCCCGCGUUCGAUCCGCGGUACCCCCA